UGCAGAGCUGCUCCGCAGGCCGCUCUCCGCCUGGGAGGCGCGGGCCGCGCUUGCCUGGUGGCUGUGCGCUCUUCAGUUGCGCUGCUCGGCCUCAGGACACUUCUAGAAGGAAAAUUGAUUCUUCAUUUCGCUUCAGACGAAAGGAGCUAAAAAGUCUGCCAACUUAAAGAACUCGGACUCUCUUAGGGUGUACCACGUGACCUGUCGCAUUGCGCUCCGAGAUAUUCUGGAAAUGCUACUAAAGGAUCCAUUUAAAACCCCUGGAACACAAGUGUUAGUGCUGUUUCUGUUGUUACUGUGAAUGGCUCCUGGUAAAUAGGCCAUGGGUGAAGAGACCAUGCUUAUCAAGAAGAACAGGCAUCUCUAAGCAGAGACUUUGCUCCAAAGAGUUGCAGAAGUUGCUGGGGAGGCCAUACCAGUGGGAUGUGGAAAAGAUAGCUUUGACUACGUUGGAAGCGCCGAGAGCCAGAGGUUCCGACUUCCUUGCCAAGAGAGAAGAGAGGGAAAUCGCCUGACACUGUUUCAGCCUAUUCGAUGUGCUGCUGGGCAUCAUUCAGUAAAGGAAACACCUUUCUGAUCUGAUAUCGAAGAGUAUGGUGGAUGUGCUUCUAAUGACAAUCUAGUGGUGGGGGAAGCAGCCGAGAGAAGUCGGUAGCCCAGUUUUCCAGUCAUGCCAAGACAGGAAGAGGAGGACUAGCUACCGAGAUUCCCUUGAGAGUGGAGAAAGAGGAAGAGAAUCCUGAUGGGAGAAUCCUGAUGGGAGGAUUAGCCCAACCCCAAGAUCACUAUAUGGGUAUUGUAAUUGGGGAAACAGAAAGCUGACAGAAGAUUAAAGCUUUGUGUGAAAUAAAGGGUCUUUCUGAUCCGUCCUGAGUAGGAGG
rnacentral:lncRNA from 1 species